rnacentral:rRNA from 1 species
CCUACGGGAGGUAGCAGUGGGGGAUAUUGCACAAUGGGGGGAACCCUGAUGCAGCGACGCCGCGUGGGUGAAGGAGUGCUUCGGCAUGUAAAGCCCUAUCGGCAGGGAAGAAGCAAGACGGUACCUGACUAAGAAGCCCCGGCUAACUACGUGCCAGCAGCCGCGGUAAUACGUAGGGGGCGAGCGUUAUCCGGAUCCACUGGGUGUAAAGGGCGCGUAGACGGCCAAGCAAGCCAGGGGUGAAAGCCCGGGGCCCAACCCCGGGACUGCCCUUGGAACUGCAUGGCGGGAGUGCGGGAGGGGCAGGCGGAAUUCCUGGUGUAGCGGUGAAAUGCGUAGAUAUCAGGAGGAACACCGGCGGCGAAGGCGGCCUGCUGGACCGCGACUGACGUUGAGGCUCGAAAGCGUGGGGAGCGAACAGGAUUAGAUACCCCAGUAGUC